CAGUCGCCGCGGGAACACGGAGGGGGCUAGCGUUGUUCGGAAUUACUGGGCGUAAAGCGCACGUAGGCGGCUUGGUAAGUUAGAGGUGAAAGCCCAGGGCUCAACCCUGGAAUUGCCUUUAAGACUGCCGAGCUAGUAGGUGAGAGAGGUAAGUGGAAUUCCGAGUGUAGAGGUGAAAUUCGUAGAUAUUCGGAAGAACACCAGUGGCGAAGGCGGCUUACUGGCUCAUUCUAGACGCUGAGGUGCGAAAGCGUGGGGAGCAAACAGGAUUAGAGACCCCAGUAGUCCCUGUCUCUUAUAC
rnacentral:rRNA from 1 species